AUACGUAGGUGGCAAGCGUUGUCCGGAUUUACUGGGUGUAAAGGGCGCGUAGGCGGGAAUGCAAGUCAGAUGUGAAAUCCAUGGGCUCAACCCAUGAACUGCAUUUGAAACUGUGUUUCUUGAGUGAUGGAGAGGCAGGCGGGAGUUCCAAGGGAGCGGUGGAAUGCGUAGAUAUUAGGAGGAACACCAGUGGCGAAGGCGGCCUGCUGGACAUCAACUGACGCUGAGGCGCGAAAGCGCGGGGAGCAAACAGGAUUAGAUACCCUGGUAGUCCGCGCCGUAAACGAUGAAUACUAGGUGUGGGGGGACUGACCCCUUCCGUGCCGGAGCAAACGCAAUAAGUAUUCCACCUGGGGACUACGGUCGCAAGACUAAAACUCAAAUGAAUUGACGGGG
rnacentral:rRNA from 1 species